rnacentral:rRNA from 1 species
UACAGAGGGGGCAAGCGUUGUUCGGAAUUACUGGGCGUAAAGGGCGCGUAGGCGGCCUGCUAAGUCGAACGUGAAAUCCCCGAGCUCAACUCGGGAACUGCGUCCGAUACUGGCAGGCUUGAAUCCGGGAGAGGGAUGCGGAAUUCCAGGGUGUAGCGGUGAAAUGCGUAGAUAUCUGGAGGAACACCGGUGGCGAAGGCGGCAUCCUGGACCGGCAUUGACGCUGAGGCGCGAAAGCCAGGGGAGCAAAGCGGG